rnacentral:rRNA from 1 species
CCUACGGGAGGCAGCAGUGGGGAAUAUUGGACAAUGGGCGAAAGCCUGAUCCAGCAAUGCCGCGUGAGUGAUGAAGGCCUUAGGGUUGUAAAGCUCUUUUACCAGGGAUGAUAAUGACAGUACCUGGAGAAUAAGCUCCGGCUAACUCCGUGCCAGCAGCCGCGGUAAUACGGAGGGAGCUAGCGUUGUUCGGAAUUACUGGGCGUAAAGCGUACGUAGGCGGUUAUUCAAGUCAGAGGUGAAAGCCUGGAGCUCAACUCCAGAACUGCCUUUGAAACUAGAUAGCUAGAAUCUUGGAGAGGUGAGUGGAAUUCCGAGUGUAGAGGUGAAAUUCGUAGAUAUUCGGAAGAACACCAGUGGCGAAGGCGACUCACUGGACAAGUAUUGACGCUGAGGUACGAAAGCGUGGGGAGCAAACAGGAUUAGAUACCCUGGUAGUCCACGCCGUAAACGAUGAUAACUAGCUGUUCGGGCUCUACGAGCUUGAGUGGCGCAGCUACGACAUUAAGUUAGUCCGUCCGUCGGGAGGUACGGUCGCGAGAAGUUAAACUAACGUAAAGUUAAAGUUAGUACGGCGUUGAGACGUUGCCGACGGACGACCGACCGAGGGGAAGGUUAGGGAG